GCAGUCGAACGGUAACAGGGAGCUUGCUCCGCUGACGAGUGGCGAACGGGUGAGUAAUAUAUCGGAACGUACCCAAGAGUGGGGGAUAACGUAGCGAAAGUUACGCUAAUACCGCAUACGAUCUAUGGAUGAAAGCAGGGGACCUUCGGGCCUUGUGCUCCUGGAGCGGCCGAUAUCUGAUUAGCUAGUUGGUGAGGUAAAGGCUCACCAAGGCGACGAUCAGUAGCUGGUCUGAGAGGACGACCAGCCACACUGGAACUGAGACACGGUCCAGACUCCUACGGGAGGCAGCAGUGGGGAAUUUUGGACAAUGGGCGCAAGCCUGAUCCAGCAAUGCCGCGUGAGUGAAGAAGGCCUUCGGGUUGUAAAGCUCUUUUGUCAGGGAAGAAACGGGAUAGGCUAAUAUCCUUUCCUAAUGACGGUACCUGAAGAAUAAGCACCGGCUAACUACGUGCCAGCAGCCGCGGUAAUACGUAGGGUGCAAGCGUUAAUCGGAAUUACUGGGCGUAAAGCGUGCGCAGGCGGUUUUGUAAGUCUGUCGUGAAAUCCCCGGG
rnacentral:rRNA from 1 species